rnacentral:rRNA from 1 species
UACGUAGGGGGCUAGCGUUGUCCGGAAUCAUUGGGCGUAAAGAGCGCGUAGGCGGCCCGAUAAGUCUGCUGUGAAAGUCCAGGGCUCAACCCUGGAAUGCCGGUGGAUACUGUCGGGCUAGAGUACGGAAGAGGCGAGUGGAAUUCCCGGUGUAGCGGUGAAAUGCGCAGAUAUCGGGAGGAACACCUAUGGCGAAGGCAGCUCGCUGGGACGUUACUGACGCUGAGACGCGAAAGCGUGGGGAGCAAACAGG